AUGGGCGCCAAGGCCUCUGAUUGUGUCGCCACCGGGGGCCAUGAGGCAGGGAGACCCGCCGUCCGCCACCAUGGCUAAACACGCGCACACGCCGUCGCGCGGACCUGGCCAUGGCAAUAGGGUAUUCGCUGGUAAUCGGGAAAGGUGUGCGUGGCAUCAUCAGGCAAAAAACGGCGACCUCGAUAGAUGAAUUCCUCGCCGAAGGUGGAGCUCCACCGCAGGUCCGUCGCACGUCGUGGCCAAGGCAUUUGCGCUACUAGAAUCACGGUUAAGGACAGGUACCACAGGAUGAGGCGCAUGAAGGAUGUCGUGAUGGUGUUCGUGACAGGUCUAGGCCGUCAUCUGCUAGUCAACUAUGGUUGCUGGAUUGUGGUCUUCGUAUGAUGUAAUCAUUUAUCUAUUUUGUACAGAACUCCGUUAUAUAUUAAUGGUGUGACAUUUGUUUCUGUACCAUGAGUCAUCAUAUGUGUGAGACUUGAUCCUAGCACACUUGGUGAUGUUCGCGCUCGGGUUUGGCCCCCUAAAUCCGGGUGUGACACCUACAUCGUGUAGCAUAAUUAGAAUCAGUAUAUAUCAUAAACUGGUUAUAAUGAGUCUAGCUGCAUGGCUGUUUGGAGCGAUUCUAUAUUUAUGGAAUCAUCCAAUUGUUUGCGCGCAAUGCAAUGGAAACAAAAAUAUCUU
rnacentral:lncRNA from 7 species